rnacentral:SRP_RNA from 1 species
CCGUGCAGCCGGGGAGUUAGCGGUGCCCUGUACCUGCAAUCCGCUCCAGCAGGGGUGAUAUCCGGCCUCGGGCAGGUUCUUGUAAAGCCGCCCAUCAUAAGUGGUGUUGAUACUCUGGUCUUGCGCAACGGAUGUUCGUGAACCGUGUCAGGUCAGGAAUGGAGCAGCACUAAGCGAAAAGUUCCGUGUGCCGUAAGGGUGCCGGGGAGGAGCUAACUGUGAUGGUACCGUUUAUGAGUCGUGUUCAAAGCCGGAUGCACGG